UGCAAGUGUCUGAUAUCCAACAGUAAAAAGAAAAGCGGAGACUCGCAAGGGGAAAAACAUAAAACUUCAAGAGAAUUUCGACCUCAGUGCAUGAAACGCAUUGGAGCACCGUAGAUGUCUUCCUUUUGUCCCGAGAUUUUAUGGGACCCCUCCCUGCCAUCUUGGAUUCCCAUUAUUGUGCAGUUGUAUGGGUGCCCCUGUUCUGCCAACCACGCUCCAGGAUCGCCUCAGGGAGACAGAGCGAGACAAACAGGAAGACGUGGUGACAACAAGCCCAUGGUUGCAAUCUGCUGCUGGACUUCUGGGACGAAUCAGAUUUUAAAAAAAAAAGAAAAAAAUAGGUGGCCUAACCUUGACAGAUAUAUCCUCAAACAAGACCUCAGCAUAUAUUACUGUACACCCUAUGGAACCAAAUGAUUCAACUACAGUACUGUGUAUUUCACAGUGUGCGUACGCUAUAUAAAGUGACAGUUUAUUUUGUAAUUUGAA